rnacentral:rRNA from 1 species
AACGGAGCACCCCUGAAGGAGUUUUCGGACAACGGAUGGGAAUGCUUAGUGGCGGACUGGUGAGUAACGCGUGAGGAACCUGCCUUCCAGAGGGGGACAACAGUUGGAAACGACUGCUAAUACCGCAUGAUGCGUUGGAGCCGCAUGACUCUGACGUCAAAGAUUUAUCGCUGGAAGAUGGCCUCGCGUCUGAUUAGCUAGUUGGUGAGGUAACGGCCCACCAAGGCGACGAUCAGUAGCCGGACUGAGAGGUUGGCCGGCCACAUUGGGACUGAGAUACGGCCCAGACUCCUACGGGAGGCAGCAGUGGGGAAUAUUGGGCAAUGGACGCAAGUCUGACCCAGCAACGCCGCGUGAAGGAAGAAGGCUUUCGGGUUGUAAACUUCUUUUAAGGGGGAAGAGCAGAAGACGGUACCCCUUGAAUAAGCCACGGCUAACUACGUGCCAGCAGCCGCGGUAAUACGUAGGUGGCAAGCGUUGUCCGGAUUUACUGGGUGUAAAGGGCGUGCAGCCGGAGAGACAAGUCAGAUGUGAAAUCCACGGGCUCAACCCGUGAACUGCAUUUGAAACUGUUUCCCUUGAGUGUCGGAGAGGUAAUCGGAAUUCCUUGUGUAGCGGUGAAAUGC